UACAGAGGGGGCAAGCGUUGUUCGGAAUUACUGGGCGUAAAGGGCGCGUAGGCGGCCUUCUAAGUCGAACGUGAAAUCCCCGGGCUCAACCCGGGAACUGCGUCCGAUACUGGAAGGCUUGAAUCCGGGAGAGGGAUGUGGAAUUCCAGGUGUAGCGGUGAAAUGCGUAGAUAUUGGGAGGAACACCAGUGGCGAAGGCGACUCGCUGGACCGGAUCUGACGCUGAGGCGCGAAAGCGUGGGGAGCAAACAGG
rnacentral:rRNA from 1 species